AAGCGGUGGAGCAUGUGGUUAAUUCGACGCAACGCGAAGAACCUUACCAGGGCUUGACAUCCCCUGACCGCGUAUGAAAGUACGUUUUCACCCUCGGGUGACAGGGAGACAGGUGGUGCAUGGUUGUCGUCAGCUCGUGUCGUGAGAUGUUGGGUUAAGUCCCGCAACGAGCGCAACCCCUACGUUUAGUUGCUAACGCGUGAAGGCGAGCACUCUAGACGAACUGCCGUUGACAAAACGGAGGAAGGUGGGGAUGACGUCAAAUCAUCAUGCCCCUUAUGUUCUGGGCUACACACGUGCUACAAUGGCCGGUACAGACGGACGCAAAGCCGCGAGGUGGAGCAAAUCCUAAAAAGCCGGUCUCAGCUCGGAUUGCAGGCUGCAAUUCGCCUGCAUGAAGUCGGAAUCGCUAGUAAUCGCAGGUCAGCAUACUGCGGUGAAUACGUUCCCGGGCCUU
rnacentral:rRNA from 1 species